rnacentral:rRNA from 1 species
CCAAUCUCAGUUCGGAUUGUGGGCUGCAACCCGCCCACAUGAAGUUGGAGUUGCUAGUAAUCGCGAAUCAGCAUGUCGCGGUGAAUACGUUCCCGGGCCUUGUACACACCGCCCGUCACACCAUGGGAGUUGAGAGCACCCGAAGUCAGUGAGGGAACCGAAAGGGCCCAGCUGCCGAAGGUGAGAUCGAUGACUGGGGUGAAGUCGUAACAAGGUAAC